UACGUAGGGUGCAAGCGUUGUCCGGAAUUAUUGGGCGUAAAGAGCUCGUAGGCGGUCCGUUAAGUCGGAAGUGAAAUCUCAAGGCUCAACCUUGAAAUCGCUCUCGAUACUGGCGGACUUGAGGCAGGUAGGGGAAGGUGGAAUUCCUGGUGUAGCGGUGAAAUGCGCAGAUAUCAGGAGGAACACCGGUGGCGAAGGCGGCCUUCUGGGCCUGUUCUGACGCUGAGGAGCGAAAGCGUGGGGAGCAAACAGG
rnacentral:rRNA from 1 species